UACGAGAGGCCCAAACGUUAUUCGGAAUUACUGGGCUUAAAGAGUUCGUAGGCGGCGCAGAAAGUAGGGUGUGAAAGCCCUCGGCUCAACCGAGGAAUUGCGCUCUAAACUACUGUGCUUGAGGAAGCUAGAGGUGAGCGGAACUGAUGGUGGAGCGGUGAAAUGCGUUGAUAUCAUCAGGAACACCGGAGGCGAAGGCGGCUCACUGGCCCGAGACUGACGCUGGAGGC
rnacentral:rRNA from 1 species